rnacentral:rRNA from 1 species
GUGAACGCUGGCGGUAGGCCUAACCCAUGCCCGUCGCACGGCAGCACAGUAAGAGCUUGCUCUUACGGGUGGCGAGUGGCGGACGGGUGAGGAAUACAUCGGAAUCUACUUUUUCGUGGGGGAUAACGUAGGGAAACUUACGCUAAUACCGCAUACGACCUACGGGUGAAAGCAGGGGAUCUUCGGACCUUGCGCGAUUGAAUGAGCCGAUGUCGGAUUAGCUAGUUGGCGGGGUAAAGGCCCACCAAGGCGACGAUCCGUAGCUGGUCUGAGAGGAUGAUCAGCCACACUGGAACUGAGACACGGUCCAGACUCCUACGGGAGGCAGCAGUGGGGAAUAUUGGACAAUGGGCGCAAGCCUGAUCCAGCCAUACCGCGUGGGUGAAGAAGGCCUUCGGGUUGUAAAGCCCUUUUGUUGGGAAAGAAAAGCAGCAGGUUAAUACCCCGCUGUUCUGACGGUACCCAAAGAAUAAGCACCGGCUAACUUCGUG